rnacentral:rRNA from 1 species
UACGUAGGGGGCUAGCGUUGUCCGGAAUCAUUGGGCGUAAAGAGCUCGUAGGCGGUUGGGUAAGUCGGGUGUGAAAACUCCAGGCUCAACUUGGAGAUGCCACCCGAUACUGCUCUGACUUGAGUUCGGUAGGGGAGUGGGGAAUUCCUGGUGUAGCGGUGAAAUGCGCAGAUAUCAGGAGGAACACCGGUGGCGAAGGCGGGUCUCUGGGCCGGUACCGACGCUGAGGAGCGAAAGCGUGGGGAGCGAACAGG